rnacentral:lncRNA from 1 species
GUGUGGUGGCAAAAUGAUUUAGAGGUGGUGGUAAAGAGGAAUUAGGAGAGAAAAGAGAAAGAUGAGUAGCAAAAUGAAAAAAAAAUGAUAAUCUAUGGUUGUAGGGGUGACCUAAGCAAGUCAAAAGGGAGAAAAUAAGAAAGGGGAAAACAAGGGGAAGACAAGGAAAAAAGAACGGAGGAGGAAGGAAAUGGAAGAAGGAAUCUUGGUGUUAUGGUAAGAAUGUUGAGUGGAAAAAUGGUUAACCAAGGGUGAGGUGUCAAAAUUAAAAUAAACGUAGGAGAGAUGACUCAAACUUGGGUUUCAAGGGAAGCUAUGCUUGUUCUUAAC